CAAUAGCGUAUAUUAAAGUUGUUGCGGUAAAAAGACUCGUAGUUGGAUUUCUGUUGAGAACGACCGGUCCACACAACGUGUGCGCAUCUGGUUCGGUCUCGGCAUCCUCUACGCAAGACUUACUCUGCGCUUGAUUGCGUGGAUAGGAUUACGGGACUUUUACUUUGAGGAAAUUAGAGUGUUCACGGCAGGCUAUCGCCAGGAUACAUUAGCAGUGGAAUAAUACUAUAGGAUCUUGAUCCUAUUUUGUUGGUUUCUAGGAGCAAGAUAAUGAUUUAAUAGGGACAAUUGGGGGUCAUUCGUAUCAACACGUCAGAGGUGAAAUUCUUGGAUUUAUGAAAGACGAACUUCUGCGAAAGCAUUUGCCAAGGAUGUUUUCAUUAAUCAAGAACGAAAGUUGGGGGCUCGAAGACGAUUAGAUACCAU
rnacentral:rRNA from 1 species